rnacentral:rRNA from 1 species
AGCUCCAAUAGCGUAUAUUAAAGUUGUUGCAGUUAAAAAGCUCGUAGUUGGAUCUCGGGAGCAGGCCGGCGGUCCGCCUCGCGGCGGGUUUUUCCUGUUCUGCCCUCCCCGCCGGGUUUUCCCCCGGGCUCUUCAUUUAGGGGCCCCGGUGGCCGGAACGUUUACUUUGAAAAAAUUAGAGUGUUCAAAGCAGGCAGUUCGCCUGAAUAAAUGGUGCAUGGAAUAAUGGAAUAGGACCUCGGUUCUAUUUUGUUGGUUUUCGGAACUUGAGGUAAUGAUUAAGAGGGACAGACGGGGGCAUUCGUAUUACACUGUUAGAGGUGAAAUUCUUGGAUCGGUGUAAGACGAACUACUGCGAAAGCAUUUGCCAAGAAUGUUUUCA